rnacentral:rRNA from 1 species
AGUACGUUUGAUCCUGGCUCGAGGAGACGCUGGCGGCGUGCUUCAUACAUGCAAGUCGAACGAGAAUCUAGCUUCGGUUAGAGGAAAGUGGCGGACGGGUGAGUAAAAUGUAGAGAAUCUGCCCUAGAGAGAGGGACAACAGUUGGAAACGACUGCUAAUACCUCAUAUGCGCGUAGCUGAGAUGCUAUUCGUGAAAACUCUGGUGCUCUAGGAUGAGUCUGCAUCUGAUUAGCUAGUUGGCGGUGUAAUGGACCACCAAGGCGACGAUCAGUAGCUGGUUUGAGAGGAUGAUCAGCCACAAUGGGACUGAGACACGGCCCAUACUCC